rnacentral:rRNA from 1 species
ACAUGGCAAGUCGAACGGCAGCACGGGAGCUUGCUCCUGGUGGCGAGUGGCGAACGGGUGAGUAAUACAUCGAACGUACCCUGAAGUGGGGGAUAACGUAGCGAAAGUUACGCUAAUACCGCAUAUUCUGUGAGCAGGAAAGAGGGGGAUCGCAAGACCUCUUGCUUUUAGGAGCGGCCGAUGUCGGAUUAGCUAGUUGGUGAGGUAAAGGCUCACCAAGGCGACGAUCCGUAGCGGGUCUGAGAGGAUGAUCCGCCACACUGGGGACUGAGACACGGCCCAGACUCCUACGGGAGGCAGCAGUGGGAAUUUUGGACAAUGGGCGCAAGCCUGAUCCAGCCAUGCCGCGUGAGUGAAGAAGGCCUUCGGGUUGUAAAGCUCUUUCGGUGGGGAAGAAAUUGCUUCGGUUAAUACCUGGAGUAGAUGACGGUACCCGCAUAAGAAGCACCGGCUAACUACGUG